UACGAAGGGAGCUAGCGUUAUUCGGAAUAACUGGGCGUAAAGCGCAUGUAGGCGGAACUACAAGUCAGAGGUGAAAUCCCAGGGCUCAACCCUGGAAUUGCCUUUGAAACUGUAGUUCUUGAGUAUGACAGAGGAUGGUGGAAUUUCCAGUGUAGAGGUGAAAUUCGUAGAUAUUGGAAAGAACACCGGUGGCGAAGGCGACCAUCUGGGUCAUUACUGACGCUGAGAUGCGAAAGCGUGGGGAGCGAACAGG
rnacentral:rRNA from 1 species